rnacentral:rRNA from 1 species
AGAAGACAAGGAGUUUUUUUCCGCCGGAGCCUUUUGGUGGUAAAUGGCUUCCUUUUUUCCCCCUUCUUCUUCUCCUCAUCCUCAUCUUUUUCCUGCUUUUCCAAGUGUGUUGGGAGAGUGGAGGAGGAAGUGUGUGUGUUUAAGGAAGAAAUUACAAUGGGAAAAAUAUGGUGAGGAGGUCACGUACGCAGGUCUGUUUUCGCGGCUGUCACACCAUG